AACGAACGCUGGCGGCAUGCCUAACACAUGCAAGUCGAACGAGACCUUCGGGUCUAGUGGCGCACGGGUGCGUAACGCGUGGGAAUCUGCCCUUGGGUUCGGAAUAACAGUUAGAAAUGACUGCUAAUACCGGAUGAUGACGUAAGUCCAAAGAUUUAUCGCCCAAGGAUGAGCCCGCGUAGGAUUAGCUUGUUGGUGAGGUAAAAGCUCACCAAGGCGACGAUCCUUAGCUGGUCUGAGAGGAUGAUCAGCCACACUGGGACUGAGACACGGCCCAGACUCCUACGGGAGGCAGCAGUGGGGAAUAUUGGACAAUGGGCGAAAGCCUGAUCCAGCAAUGCUGCGUGAGUGAUGAAGGCCUUAGGGUUGUAAAGCUCUUUUACCCGGGAUGAUAAUGACAGUACCGGGAGAAUAAGCCCCGGCUAACUCCGUGCCAGCAGCCGCCGUAACAC
rnacentral:rRNA from 1 species